rnacentral:rRNA from 1 species
AUCUUCCACAAUGGGCGCAAGCCUGAUGGAGCAACGCCGCGUGAGUGAGGAAGGCUUUCGGGUCGUAAAGCUCUGUUGCCAGGGAAGAAUAAGAACGUGUUAACUGCACGUUCGAUGACGGUACCUGAGAAGAAAGCCCCGGCUAACUACGUGCCAGCAGCCGCGGUAAUACGUAGGGGGCAAGCGUUGUCCGGAAUUAUUGGGCGUAAAGCGCGCGCAGGCGGCUGUUUAAGUCUGGUGUCUAAGUGCGGGGCUCAACCCCGUGAUGCAUCGGAAACUGGAGAGCUUGAGUGCAGAAGAGGAGAGCGGAAUUCCACGUGUAGCGGUGAAAUGCGUAGAGAUGUGGAGGAACACCAGUGGCGAAGGCGGCUCUCUGGACUGUAACUGACGCUGAGGCGCGAAAGCGUGGGGAGCAAACAGG